AGCAUUAAGGCCCAGAAGGUGGAUUAAGGAAGAUGGGCUUCCUAGCCACCCUGCUGAAUGCAGAGGAAACCAUUUCAUGUGGAGAUUACUGUCUGAACCGAAUGAGAGGCGGCACAGGCCUGUGGCUGGAGCAGCUGGGGCUCACGUUCAACCCGUACUGCAGUGCUGCUCAGUGCAAUCUAUCAGCCAGCACCGUCGCUCUUCUUGGGGUCAACCUGCCAUCAGCUGCACUGUGGGUACAUUGAGUACACAGCAGCUUCACCAAGCGCUGCAGAGAUGGACAGCACAGCAGGACAGUACUGCUAAAUUCCCCCUCGGUUUCCACCAACAGUUCCAUUUAUCAUGGAUGAUAGUAAAGCUUAAAAAUAAAUAUCAUUAAUAUUAGCUUAAAUAUAGCUACACAGUUUGCAAAGGUGUGUGUGUUAAGUCCUGUGGCUACAGAGAAUGCUGAAGUCAACAGAUUGUAAAUCAUCCUUCCGUGACCAUUAAAGGAAAUCAUUAAGUUGUUCCUGAGCAGGGGAACUAAUGAAACUCAGUUUCCUAUGGUCUUGAGCACAUUCACUUUUAGACGUUUAAAAAUUAAAUUAUACUACUAUUUUCUAUUCUUGACACAUACCCUAUAAAAUUCCCAUCCAUUCUCAUAUAGCCAUUCUUCUGUCAAAUAUUUUGAUAGCUGCGUGCAAGCUGCCUCAUUUGACUGAUUUGGUGAACAGGAUCAAAAACUUGGCCUUUCCUUGCUCUAGUUUUAAAAAACACAUAGGAAGCUCAUCAUGGUUGAGAUCUCUUGUACUGGUCUGAAACUAAAAGUUUCCUAUAGAUAUAUGCACAGACCGAUGUUG